UUGCCGGGCAGCGGCCGCGGGGGGGCGCCGUGCCCGCCCGCCAUGCUGAGGGCGAAGGUGCUGCUGGUGGGGCCCCGGGAGUCUGGAAAGUCGGUGUUGGCAAACUUCGUGUCCGAGAGCACGGAAGGGAUCUGCAGCUACAGCCCGACGCAGGGGGUGAGGAUCCUGGAGUAUGAGAAGCCAAACCUCCAUGGGAACAGCAAGGGCGCUGGGUGUCGAUUCGAGCUAUGGGAUUGCAGUGGUGAUCAAAAGUUUGAAACAUGCUGGCCAGCUCUGAUGAAGGACUCCCACGGUGUAAUAAUAAUCUUCAACCCUGAGCUGCCCAGCCACCUGAAAGAAAUCGAGAUGUGGUACUCGUGCUUCGUGCAGCAGCAGCCACUGCUUGACAGUCAGUGUCUCCUGGUGGCACAUCACAAGCCAGGCAGUGCAGGGGACACAGAAAACCUGUCCUUGGAAUUCUCCACUGGUGGAAUAUUUGGUGCAGCAAAGAUGUGGCAAAAUUCCAAUUUACCUUGUUGAGAAGUUGCCUUUCCCAAGACGCUGGGAACACUGCAGCAGUAAUUCCCAGUUUCAGUUGGAGCUCUGCGUGCACACACGGACACCAAGGCACCGAGGAGUACCAGACAUCAUGUGCUGCUACUCCGAGCAGUCCAGGGCUUAAUUCCUGUGUACAAAGCAAGCCUUUUGUCACUUCAGGUAUAUUUAUGCAGAGGUGGCAGUGAACCAGAACAUGAACUCCAAACUUCCUUGAACUUUGAGAAACUUGCAUUCUGAUUUGUACUCCCCAGCAGGAGAUCAGCUGAAGACAUAGGUUGUAUUUACACAUAUGCAGAGGAAUAUGUGUAAAUGGGUUUUAUCAACCCAUACCAGAAGAAAGAUUACACAAAAUUUCUCACGUGAGUCUCACUUUAGAGAGUACUGGCUGAAGACGGGCACUGCGUUUUGCUUGCAUAACUGUCAGACAGAAACAAAAAGAUGCCACAUGUUUUGCUGAGUUCUAUUGUCUCUCCCUCCUUUUGUAAGGAAAUUAAAGCCCAUUUCUCUCUUAGUUCCAUGAAAUCUAUCUGAAUCCUGGUAACAAGUCUCUGAGAAAUUGCUCAGAGGGAAUAACAGACAAGGGUACACCCUCCACUGCUAUGUUACUGCUCCAUGAGUUCCAGACAAAAGCAUUUCUUGUGGUUUGGCAGCAAGCAUCUACUCCUAAAACCCUGGGAUUGCAUUGUUCUUUACAUGUCAAAUGUUGACUUAGUACCCACAGGCAAAGAUUGCAGUGUCCCUCUUUUUAGGAGGGACCUUCAGGUUUCCUAGGCUGCUGGGGUCACCUCUCACAGCAGUGACACCAUUUGGGAGAGUCACACCCGAGUGGACUGUAAAGAACAGGCCCUCAGGACUGCCCUGCUAUGAGCAUUCCAGGAUUUUUAUCCUGACCUAGGUUAAAUGGUAAUACUCCAGAAACUGAGCAACUGACUGCCAGGCCCAUAAUAACAACUCUGAAUCAUUAAAUAAAGAUACAUCUUCAGGAUAGAUUAUUGUUAAGGCUCCAAAAUAGUUCUGCUGUGUUUGGAAUUCUAAUAAUGGUAGGCAAGCUUGACUGGAACCUCUAAUGAUACAAAGAUCUUGCAGUUUUGCUUAUCUGUAGCUAAGUUAAUGAGCCUGGGACCCAAACACAGCUAUUAUGAGGCCCUUCUGCUCAGAAUGGUGUAUCUUUACUUUUAAAGCAGAUCAUUAAAAGUAAUAUCUAAUGAAAACUCCAUCUGUUUUCCAUUGAGUGUACACUUGGCUUUUUUCUUUUUUAUUCUCUAAGGCUCCAUGAAGCUUUGCAGCACACAGGGCUGACACUGUCACAUGCUAACAGGACAAGCCAGCCCUUGAUGCAAUUCCUUUGUCCAGGGAAGUUAAAUAUUGGGCAUAUCUGGAUCUAUCAACAUAAAGGUAACCUUUUGGACCUUUAAUUUCUUUCACAUCCAGGAACUGGAGAGAGAUGCACAAAUAUGAAGUGGUGUAAUAAAUUUUAAGUCACACAGACCUGCACAGAACCAAAUCUAC